GUCAUUCUCUUUGACUCCGCAAGUCUAUUUUUUUAAUUUUUAUUGACACACCAAAGCAAAAAUAAAAUCUAAGUUACAGAACAUUCAAAACAAUUAACACAUACGAUUGUGAAUAUUCAAUGUGAUCCCUUGAUACCAUUACGGUUGCUUUCACCAUUGGACGGCUGAGUCCGGGAACCGUUAUCGGACGGCGAGUAGGGCUUCUGCCCCCUAUCUUGAUCAAGCACUCUCUGCAUGGUAACCACAAGGUUUGUGACCUUAUCUGUUUCAUUUCCACCUCCUUGACUUCUUCUUAGCAUCCCACUCCGGUCAUCGGAAAACGUGUCGUCUUGCCGGAGAUGACAUUUAUGAAGCUUCAUAUACUUAUUCCUUGUGAACAUUUUUGUAGCAUUUUUGAAGUUCUAUAGUUUGAUUAUACCGUUAGAGAUUUGGUUAAUAUUUAUAGGGGAGCUAGUUUCA
rnacentral:lncRNA from 1 species